rnacentral:tRNA from 1 species
CCCUGGGUGGUGCAAAUGGCUAACACAUUCAGCUGCUAACUGAAAGGUGGGAGGUUCGAACCUACCCAGAGGU